rnacentral:tRNA from 1 species
GGUGGCGUACCCAAGUAGCUAAGGGAGCGGUCUGCAAAACCGCGAUGCGUGGGUGCAACUCCCACCGCCACCUCCA